CAGCCGGACAGCGGUCCGGGCGGCUCCCGCCUCCCCGGCGGCGCGGAGUUCCUCCCUUUUCGCCUCCCGCCGCCUUCGUUAUCUCCUCGCCCCCGCUCCCGCCGGGGGCGCGGUGCCCCUCCCGUCUCCGCCCCGCGGGGAGCCGCCCCAGCCUGGCUGCCCAGCGGGCAUCCGGCCUCCGCGGAGGCGGUGGGCGAAGGAGUAAAAGCGGGCCCCGAGAGUGACCGGGGGUUGGAGCCGGAGCCGCGGCCGCUGGGGGAAGAUAAACAGAAGAUGAUAGGGAGCAAUGAAUCCUCUACUGAAGGACCAGUGCCUACAUCCUACUUAACCUUCCUGGCUUAUUUACUGGGAGAAUGGACUGGUAUAGAACACACUGAAACUUAUCUGAGUUAUGGAGUCUACCUUUCAUGGGUGCUUUUUCCACUUGCAAUAGCUUUUAUACUUCCAAUAGCUAUCUUCUUCUUCUGCCUCAACACUUCCCUUCUCCUUCUUCAUAUUCAUAAAAGGAGGAAGAAUGGAGGACGUUCUGGUGAUGUUUGGUAUGGUGCAAAAGAAAUGUUGGCUAACCUGUGGGAUGGACAUGGGAGAAUAUGGCAUGGUUAUGAACUUCAUGGGGAUGAAAAUAUUCCAGAAGGACCAGCACUUAUUGUGUUUUAUCAUGGAGCUAGUCCUGUUGACUAUCUCUAUUUCAUGGCUAGACUUCUUAUACGAAGGAAGAGAUAUUGCCACGUAGUAGCGGAUCAUUUCGUCUUUAGAUUACCAGGUUUAAAAACGUUUAUUGAGGUACUUGGCAUUAUGCAUGGACCAAAAGAAGUAUGUGUCAGUGCUCUGAAGAAAGGCUAUCUGUUAGCUAUUUCUCCAGGUGGACUUCGGGAAGCACUCUUCAGUGAUGAAACAUAUCCUAUUAUGUGGGGUAAUCGAAAGGGCUUUGCCCAGGUGGCCAUUGAUGCAAAAGUGCCCAUCAUUCCUAUGUUUACACAAAAUGUUCGAGAAGGCAUUAGGACAUUAGGAGGAAUAAAAAUACUUAGGAAGCUGUAUGAACGUAUUAGAUUGCCAGUAGUUCCUAUGUAUGGCUGGUUUCCAGUCAAGCUUCGUACGUUUAUUGGAGAACCCAUUCCAUAUGAUCCAAAUAUAACUGCUGAGGAACUGACUGCGAAGACAAAAGCAGCACUCCAGGCUCUAAUAGCCAAACAUCAGAAAAUACCAGGAAAUAUACUGAGGGCUUUAAUGGAACGAUUUCAAACACGACAGAAAGAAGACUAAGGUCUUCUGAGCAGUGUGCCAAGCAAGAGAUGACAGAGGAGACAUGAAGAAGGAAAACAUACAAACCUGUAGUAUCAACCUUUUUGUGACAAGAUGAGGAUGUGCUACCUCCAAUUCAAUCAGAUUUGAUAAUAAAUUACUGGGAACAGCUCCUAUUUUGCAACUGAGGAGAGUAAAAGACAUUUGGCUAUACAUCAGUAGGCUGCAUCAAGAGAAGGUGGAAGUGAUUCAUCCCAUUGUAAAUGCCCUGCUGCUGGGGUGGAGUGAAAUCAAUGUAAAGAGAUUCAGCAGGUGGUGGCAGCUCGUUGAAGUAAAUAAAUCAAAUGAAGAAAACAUGACUAUUCCCAGAUAUGAUGACAAGUGACCAUAUCAAAGUCCGAGAAUUUGCAUGUCAGCACAAAAGAUGAAGCUGGAGGCAAACGGUGACACAGGAUACCUAGCAGAGCACUCUGACCAGCCAGAGGAACUGAUGUGUGGGCAAGUUUCCUGCUGCUAUCAGGACGUUGGUAGGACACUCCUGAGGACGCGAGACCUCUGGCCAAAUGCCACAUAGGCACAAGGUAACCUCGUAGCUUCUUUCCCACUCUGCGCUGGCAUGGAGGGCUGGAAUCAAAAUCGCUGUGAGAAGGUGACAGCGUUUGAAAUGAAGACUCAGAUGUAACAGAUGGCAAGCACAGCCCCAAGCAAAAGUAGAUUCCCAAAGGAAAGCACAAAAACAAAUACCAAACAGGCCUUUAAAGUAAAUGAACAAACAAACAAACAAAAAGAGAAAGCCUUAAAGGGAAGUUCUUGGAAAAGUUACAAAAUCAUCUGAGAGAAAAGAAAGAUGGGGAGGAACAAAUGUGCAAUAAUGAAAGUGUGCUUUGCAUAAUGCUGCCCACUCCAUCUGAAGGAGCCUCCAGAUGUUCCGUGUUACUCUCAUGUGACUGUGAGUUGUGAAAUAGCUGGUGUGCUGCAAAGUGAGAAAAUCAAUGCUGUGUUCUAGGCAGCUUCUGAUAUCAAGGGAACAGCAGAACUACUUAUUUGGUAGAAUUUGCUUCAGAGCAUGUUUCAGAAUUAGCUCAUCACUCACAACAACACCUUUUACAAGUCGAUGUGAGUUGUCUCCUUGGGAAAAAGCAGCUGGCAGAUGAGGCAGUCAAAACCUAUUUUUCCAAAAGCAGCCUCUGAUCUGAACAUAGAGACACUGUGAGUAUUCAGUCUGAAAAACAAGGGCUGCAUUUUUCAAAACUGCUGAGCAUUGCUGGGUCCUAUCUGAGAGUGCUGGAACUGCAAGCCCUGACCACCCUCCAGAAUGAUGCCAGAGCAAGCUCCAGCUGAACCACUCAUUCCCCACAGACAUCAUUGCCAGUGACUUUUUGUUGCUGACUGCAGGUGGAAACAAGCAUCCAUGCUGUGCAUGUUGUAAGCCCAGAGCCUCAAUGACAAUCUAAAUCAGAAAUAGAUGGAGACGACCAACAGGAAAGGCAGAUGCUUCUGGCACCAGGCCUAUGCUCAGACAACUUUCACCUUAAUUUAUUGAGACUUUUUUUUUUUUUUUUUUUUUUUUUGUGCAGCAGUGGAAUUGAUCAAGUUCCAAAUCUGUACUAACUAUAGAGAUACCAAAAAUUUAAAAUCAGUAUAAGGUUAACUUGCUUAAAACUUUGAGAUUGCUUGGAGAAGAAUCACAGGAGUCCACAUAUCAGUAAUAAUCCAUUUGCUCAGUUUCCUUAUUUAUAUAAUAGAGUACAUAAGCUUAUCAUUCCAUGUUUUGAGACUUUAUUCUUGAAUUGCUGUCUCUGAGCUAUCUGCUUGGUUAACAAUGCACAUAUGGCAGUAACACAAUGGUUGGUAACACUUACUGUGCUUAUUGGUGUGCUCAGGGCAGUACAGCUUAUGCUCACAGCACUUAAUUAGAACCUGACUGAAAAGAAAUGGCUUGAUUGCUGGAAGACCCAGUAGGAAAAGUCUUCAGCUUUGUAUAUGGCUUUCUAUGAAUGAGAAAUCUUUCCAAGUGGGAAAAACUGAGUGCUUAAGAAUGAAUACAAUAUGCAUGAGCUGGUGUGCCUGACCACAGGUCCGAAGUGCUGCCACAGCAAACAGACUAUACAGAAUAGCACUUUCCUACUUUCCUGUCUCAUUUCUAUAGCACAGAAUUUAGUGAAAAGAUGUGUCUUAUAACUGCAGUACAAAGGAAAAGAACUGUCCAUCUCUGGUCGGCCUAUCCAAGAUUCCCAUUGUGGUGGUAGGAAGAUACAGCUCCCUUCCAUACAAAUGGGUCUCUGCGUACUUUAUGAGCUAAGUUAACUGAGUGAAUGUAGUGUUAACUACAUAUGAAAUAAGUAGGAGAAAAAACAUACUUGGAUAAUUUUGCCAAGGCACUUGGGGCUUUUAUUACCAAGUCUCUAUAUUUAGUUCAUCAGCAAGUUUUUUUUACAGGAACCGUAGCCAUUUCUCAACCUCUCUCUCUCUGUUUUGUUUUGUUUUGUUUUUUUUUUUAAAGUAAAGAGAGGUGAGAACUGCUCUGAAUAAGCACUGUUCAAGCAGCCUAUAAAAACUUCUCCACUUCUUUCCUUUGUUAAGAAUCUAUUUAAACUGUCUGUUAUCAUUGUUUAGCUUAAAAAGAAACUGCUUUGCUUCUUACAUGUCACAAACUUACAUUAAAAGCAUCCUGAAGAAGG